UACGUAGGGUCCGAGCGUUGUCCGGAAUUAUUGGGCGUAAAGGGCUCGUAGGCGGUUUGUCGCGUCGGGAGUGAAAACUCAGGGCUCAACCCUGAGCGUGCUUCCGAUACGGGCAGACUAGAGGUAUGCAGGGGAGAACGGAAUUCCUGGUGUAGCGGUGGAAUGCGCGGAUAUCAGGAGGAACACCGGUGGCGAAGGCGGUUCUCUGGGCAUUACCUGACGCUGAGGAGCGAAAGCAUGGGGAGCGAACAGG
rnacentral:rRNA from 1 species